UCCGAAUUGGCACCCGCUGCUGCAUUUACCUCUGCUGGUUUUGGCCAACGACAUUUCUUAUCUGCAUGUCCCAAUUACACAACAAAACGUGUUUACAUACCGAUGCGCCUCAUAUUCGAUAGCCUACACCCCCGCGCAAGCGCCCACCACUGUUCUUAUGUGCAGUCACUGGAUUCAGACUGCACGGGUGUGAAAGGAGAUGCAAUGAUGGCUACCGCUGCAGAAGAACUAUGCCAAUCCCCUUGUCCCAUUUCUGAGCGCAAUGUCACGACAGUUUCCAUCAAAAUUACGAGGAAAAACCAGGAUAAACCCUGGAAAUUGAGAUUAAUUUACCUGCAGUGUUAUUGUAUGUCAAUUGCAACCAUACUGGGAACUGGAAUCUUAGGACUUCCUGUCACAAUAGCACAUGCUGGACUUGUGCCUUUCCUGGUCUCCUUUAUAAUUGGUUUCUUUGUGCAGGCUCUCCUCAUAUACCUAUUUGUUGACCUACUCCAGCGAUGCGAAGUUGCCCAAAUUGAGUCACUAAAGAGCACAGAGACUGAGCGGAUUUUAUUACAAGACAUUGGGUUGGAGGAGCCUGCUGUCACUAACACAGAAGAGGAUGAUGAUGAAGGUGACGAAGCAGACACUGGCCUACUGCAGAAGGACGCAGCCAGCUGCCAGACACCGGAGGAGAAGCUGCACCCUAAUCUCCAUGUGUUGGGAGUCCUCUUCCUCAGCAAGCCCAUGAGCCAUGCCUUCAACUUCAUCCUGCUCUUCCAGUUUGUGUCAAUUGGGAUCAGCUAUGUCCUGGCUGGCAGUGAGGCCUACGCUGUGAUUCUAGAUCUGAGCCAUAUCUACGUCAUUCCUGCCUUUACCUGGACACUCUCUCUUACAAUCCUGUUGGCUCAGAUUGUCAUUCAGCCAAUCACAUCGCUGCUGACCCUUCUGAAAGGCAUCAUGCUGAUCAUCACACUUUUUGGGCCACGACAGGAGCAGUGUCCGCCCCCAGUUUGGUCACACGGUGAAUCACAGCACAUCACAGCAGCACCUGGAUUCACCCUACGGCGGGGAGGCAGGCAGUCCUGUGUCUGGGCCAGGCUCCUCACGUCUAGGAGCGAGUCCCAUUAUAUGCUGGUGGACAGAUUCAAUCUGACACAUUUGCACAUAGGCACUCUAGAAAUGUGUUCCACAUCUAAAUGUACGCUGUAAUUAAAAUCUAAUGAGAGGGCUUUUAUUUGAUUCCCCUGUCAGUAAUACAAUCAAACAGUCAAUGACCGCACAACAGUGACAUUAAUCGUGACAACAGUUGGGGUUUGUUCACAGUCCACGUAGCUAUAGCCCCCCUCACUCCAUCUGUGAUUCCAGUUGAUGUAUUGUAGAUUGUUCCGGUUCCUUUGGGAAAACAGAAUCCAUAGAUUCUCCCAGAUCUUCCUUCAUUGGUCCCAUCGCCUCCGGUUUCCAUUCUGUAAAGGGCA
rnacentral:lncRNA from 1 species